AUUGAACGCUGGCGGCAGGCUUGACACAUGCAAGUCGAGCGGGGGAAGGUAGCUUGCUACCUAACCUAGCGGCGGACGGGUGAGUAAUGCUUAGGAAUCUGCCUAUUAGUGGGGGACAACAUUUCGAAAGGGAUGCUAAUACCGCAUACGCCCUAAGGGGGAAAGCAGGGGAUCUUCGGACCUUGCGCUAAUAGAUGAGCCUAAGUCGGAUUAGCUAGUUGGUGGGGUAAAGGCCUACCAAGGCGACGAUCUGUAGCGGGUCUGAGAGGAUGAUCCGCCACACUGGGACUGAGACACGGCCCAGACUCCUACGGGAGGCAGCAGUGGGGAAUAUUGGACAAUGGGGGGAACCCUGAUCCAGCCAUGCCGCGUGUGUGAAGAAGGCCUUUUGGUUGUAAAGCACUUUAAGCGAGGAGGAGGCUACCGAGAUUAAUACUCUUGGAUAGUGGACGUUACUCGCAGAAUAAGCACCGGCUAACUCUGUGCCAACCGCCGCGGUAA
rnacentral:rRNA from 1 species